AGAGGCACUUGGGGCCAAGCGACCGCGUCGGCUCCUCGCGGCGGAGGAAGUGGAGCGGUUUGAUUAACAGCCGAGCCCUCGGCCUGACCAACGGGAGUUUGAUGUAGGCCGUUGCGAGGAGAGGUCUGCUUCAGCACAACCUCCAGCUUGUGACUUCGUGCGAAGAUUAAAAUUCAAAGGGUACCUCGUCUAAGCUACAGGCUGUCACCAGCAAGUUGUGCGUUUGCUGCCCUGCAGGCAGCGAGGGCUGCAGGGCACUGGGGGAUAAGUUUAGGACUUAGGAGGAAGCAUAAGAAUCUGUGGACCCCUCAGAAGUGAAUCCCCCCUUUGGAUUCCAGCGUUCAGCGUAGUGGAUCUUGUAUCUCGCCUGCGCAGAAGAUGCUGACUGUCUUCGCAGGCCCCUUCCUAUUGAAGUUUUGCUUGCAGCCAAAAGCCUGCUCGAUUUCCAUUUCUCCAAUCCAGUACCGGGUCAGACCUCUGUUGUCUCUGAGCCGUGUUACAGGCUCUGCCCUGUGUUCACUGUCUUACGCUGCCUGCAGCCUGGAGGACAGCUACGAAUUGAUGACCAUUCCUGUUGAAGCCCCUUUUCCCUGAAGAAAGAGAAAAGCAAACAGAAACCCUUCAAAGAAACCAGCAUUUUCAAAGAGACAGGACUUCUGUUUGUGCAGACGUGGAUGUCACUCCAUCUUCAUGUCUCACUCAGCACGGGUAAACCCAGACAGCCUGAGAAGAGCUCUUAAGGCGAUACUUAGGAAAAAUAGGCCGGAGCUGAAAACGUUAGGAUGAGAAACAGCAGAUCUGUAACACGUGGCUGGUUUGUUUGACAUAAACAGCGAGAUUAUUUACUGCUUACAAUUCUGGCCAGAGAACAGACCGGGAAUGUUUGGAAGCAAGUUUGCUGGCUAUCAGCUGCAGGGAAGCACCGGUUAAUGCCGUGCUGUGCCUGAAGACGAUGAGGACGAUGGAGGUUGAGAUGUCAGAGGCAUCCGAACAGCCUCUGUUUACUUCAGACAAAAUCGUCUCGGAGAAGCUGAGAGGCGGAGGGAGAAGCACCGGGAUCCGAGCGCAGAACUGGAUUCCAGGAACAUCUGAGCACUAAAUAUAGCAGCCGUGCUAACUCAGCGGCUUCGGGUGCAGCAGAUAACAUCCUGCUUCGGGACGGCUCACAGGAGUCAGGCCACUGCAAGGGGAGGUGUGAAAUUCAAUCCCUGUCAGGGCAUUGGCAAACAGUUCUUGGGAAUCCUGGGAUCCCUGUCUUUUCACUGUUUUGGUUUAUGCAUUUUUGAAAUGUUUGAGAGAAUAAUGAAAAUAUCAGGAAAAAUAAAACAGCGUAUUUUGGUAUCAUGGGCUAAACUCUUCCUUCAUCUG